rnacentral:rRNA from 1 species
AGCUGAUGCAGCACGCCGCGUGCGGGAUGACGGCCUUCGGGUUGUAAACCGCUUUCGCCUGUGACGAAGCGUGAGUGACGGUAAUGGGUAAAGAAGCACCGGCUAACUACGUGCCAGCAGCCGCGGUGAUACGUAGGGUGCGAGCGUUGUCCGGAUUUAUUGGGCGUAAAGGGCUCGUAGGUGGUUGAUCGCGUCGGAAGUGUAAUCUUGGGGCUUAACCCUGAGCGUGCUUUCGAUACGGGUUGACUUGAGGAAGGUAGGGGAGAAUGGAAUUCCUGGUGGAGCGGUGGAAUGCGCAGAUAUCAGGAGGAACACCAGUGGCGAAGGCGGUUCUCUGGGCCUUUCCUGACGCUGAGGAGCGAAAGCGUGGGGAGCGAACAGGCUUAGAUACCCUGGUAGUCCACGCUGUAAACGGUGGGUACUAGGUGUGGGGUCCAUUCCACGGGUUCCGUGCCGUAGCUAACGCUUUAAGUACCCCGCCUGGGGAGUACGGCCGCAAGGCUAAAACUCAAAGGAAUUGACGGA